rnacentral:snoRNA from 1 species
UUUGACAGACCCAGAACAGUUACUGUCUGGUUUAAGGCUUUCACCACAGAAGAAAAAAGUGCCCUCACAAAUUUUGCCUGAUUAUGACAGUUAAGAUUGAAUGGGGUAAUACAUGA